AAAGAAGAAAAAGAAAAAGAAAAAGAACAAAAAAAACAAAGAAUAAUUAAAUUCUCUUCUUCUCCAAUCUCUUCUCCCUCUCCCUCUCCCCCCACUCCUUCUUCUUCUCCCUCUCCUC
rnacentral:ribozyme from 13 species